rnacentral:lncRNA from 1 species
CAACAAUCUUACAACACACAAGGCAAGAAUUCAAGAGCGAUUUCAAGGAUUGAAGAGCGAACGUUGGAGGAGUAAUUUUCAGAGAUUAUCACGACGGUUGCGAAUCAAGGCUACGUGAAGGGGUUUUCUUUAUUCUUCUUCUCUUUAGUCUUAUUUGUAAUUGGGAUGAUGUUUUCAACAAAGUAUUCAGUUUUUAAUUCAUUCGUUAUGAACUAAUUUACUUAUUAGACUUGUGAUGGAUCUUUGGG